GUUCCUGCCAAUAAGAGAACUCGAGCAAGCAACAGCAAUGGAGGUCCAAUGCCACCAGCCAAAGCUGGGCGUUUGACGAAUGCGUAUGUAUCAUCUUUCCCUGCUGCUCCUACAUUUGUUAGGUCUCCUUCACACGGGCAAUACCCAGCUGCUCUUCCACCAUACCCUUCCCCACCCCACAUGUAUGGCAGCAGAAGUCCCCCAGCAAAUCCUUAUGCUGCUUAUUCGCCCGAGCCUGCACCAGCUAUUGCAGGGUCUUACC
rnacentral:lncRNA from 1 species